UACGAAGGGGGCUAGCGUUGCUCGGAAUUACUGGGCGUAAAGCGCACGUAGGCGGUUUCUUAAGUCGGGGGUGAAAUCCUGGAGCUCAACUCCAGAACUGCCUUCGAUACUGGGAAACUUGAGUUCGGGAGAGGUGAGUGGAACUGCGAGUGUAGAGGUGAAAUUCGUAGAUAUUCGCAAGAACACCAGUGGCGAAGGCGGCUCACUGGCCCGAUACUGACGCUGAGGUGCGAAAGCGUGGGGAGCAAACAGGG
rnacentral:rRNA from 1 species